GAUGAACGCUGGCGGCGUGCCUAAUACAUGCAAGUCGAGCGAACGGACGAGAAGCUUGCUUCUCUGAUGUUAGCGGCGGACGGGUGAGUAACACGUGGAUAACCUACCUAUAAGGCUGGGAUAACUUCGGGAAACCGUAGCUAAUACCGGAUAAUAUUUUGAACCGCAUGGUUCAAAAGUGAAAGACGGUCUUGCUGUCACUUAUAGAUGGAUCCGCGCUGCAUUAGCUAGUUGGUAAGGUAACGGCUUACCAAGGCAACGAUGCAUAGCCGACCUGAGAGGGUGAUCGGCCACACUGGAACUGAGACACGGUCCAGACUCCUACGGGAGGCAGCAGUAGGGAAUCUUCCGCAAAGGGCGAAAGCCUGACGGAGCAACGCCGCGUGAGUGAUGAAGGUCUUCGGAUCGUAAAACUCUGUUAUUAGGGAAGAACAUAUGUGUAAGUAACUGUGCACAUCUUGACGGUACCUAAUCAGAAAGCCACGGCUAACUACGUG
rnacentral:rRNA from 1 species